rnacentral:rRNA from 1 species
AACGAACGCUGGCGGCAUGCCUAACACAUGCAAGUCGAACGAAACGACCGGGACUUGUGGCGUACGGCUGCGUCACGCGUGGGAACCUGCCCUUAGGUUCGGACUAACUAUCCGAAUGGGGUGAUAAUACCGGAUAAUGUCUUCGGCCCAAAGAUAUAUCGCCUUUGGUUGGUCCGGCGUUGGAUUAGCUAGUUGGUACGGGAAUAGCCUACCAAGGCCACGAUUAAUAGCUGGUUUGAGAGGAUGAUCACCGACACUUGGAUUGGGACCCGGCCUAGACUCCUACGGGAUGGAGCAGAGGGGAAUAUAGGACCAUGGGCGAAGGCCUGAUGCAGCAAGGCCGCGUGAGUGAUGAUGGCCGUGGGGUUGUAAAGUGCUAUUACCCGGGAUGAUAUUGACGGUACCGGGUGAAUAAGCUCCGGCUAACUCCGUG